rnacentral:tRNA from 1 species
GGAAUGGCGCAGUUGGUAGCGCAACUGAUUCGUAAUCAGUAGGUCGUCGGUUCGAGUCCGAUUUCC